rnacentral:rRNA from 1 species
AUCAUUAUUGAAAUAAACCUGAUGGGUUGUUGCUGGCUCUCCAGGGAGCAUGUGCACGCCUUGUCAUCUUUAUAUCUCCACCUGUGCACCUUUUGUAGACCCAGGAUAUUCUUAUCCAGGUGUCUAUGUUGCCUCUUCAUUUACCCCAAUGUAUGUUAAUAGAAUGUUGUGUCCAUUGAUAUAAUCUAUACAACUUUCAGCAACGGAUCUCUUGGCUCUCGCAUCGAUGAAGAACGCAGCGAAAUGCGAUAAGUAAUGUGAAUUGCAGAAUUCAGUGAAUCAUCGAAUCUUUGAACGCACCUUGCGCUCCUUGGUAUUCCGAGGAGCAUGCCUGUUUGAGUGUCAUUAAUAUUAUAUAUCAAACCCUCUUUUUUGUUGAAGUGGGUUUUGGAUGUGGGGUUGCUGGCCUCUUUUGAAGGGGUCAGCUUCCCUGAAAUGCAUUAGCAGAACAACCUGUUCAUUCAUUGGUGUGAUAACUAUCUACGCUAUUGAACCGUGAAGGCAAGUUCAGCUUCCUAACCGUCUUUGGACAACCUAUCAUCUAUAUGUGACCUCAAAUCAGGUAGGACUACCC